UACGAAGGGGGCUAGCGUUGUUCGGAAUUACUGGGCGUAAAGCGCGCGUAGGCGGCUUUGCAAGUCGGGUGUGAAAUCCCCAGGCUUAACCUGGGAACUGCAUUCGAGACUGCAUUGCUAGAGUAUGGGAGAGGGAAGUGGAAUUUCCGGUGUAGCGGUGAAAUGCGUAGAUAUCGGAAGGAACAUCAGUGGCGAAGGCGACUUCCUGGACCAAUACUGACGCUCAGGUGCGAAAGCGUGGGGAGCAAACAGG
rnacentral:rRNA from 1 species